AGGGUCGGCCAGGCGGUCGCGUCACUAUUUCGGUAGUGCCGAGGAACGUCCGGGCUCCAGAGAGCAGGACGGUGGGUAACACCCACCCGGAGUAAUCCGCGAGACAGUGCCACAGAAAGUAAACCGCCCGAGCAAUCGGGUAAGGGUGAAACGGUGGUGUAAGAGACCACCAGAGAUUCGGGUGACCGAAUCUGCUCGGUAAACCUCGUCCGGAGCAAGGCCAAACAGACACCACUGAAGUUGCUCGCUUGGGUGUCGGGUAGGCCGCUAGAGAGUGUUGGUAACAGCCCUCCGAGAAAGAUGGUCGCCACCGAAGUUCGCUUCGGGACAGAACCCGGCGUAUCGGCCGGCCCCUUCC
rfam:Actinobacterium acMicro-4 AMD-COM-C636, whole genome shotgun sequence.